CUACUCCCCUUCAGGAUGCCACUAAUCACAUCCUUGCAGGAAGAGACAAGAAUUCAAUUUCAGAAAUCAAAUAAAUUAAUCCAGUUAAAGGUCGUGGUAUCUUCACUUCAGCUGUCUUCAAUCAAGGAGACUUUGUGUUGGAGUAUAGAGGGGAGCUCAUUGAUGCAGCUGAAGCUGAACAUAGGCGUAAACUGUACCACAGUGCAUGUUCAUUCAAUCUUCAUGUUUGACUUCACAUGGAAGCAGAAGACAUGGUGUAUUGAUGGAGCACUUGAAGAUGGAUCAUUUGGACGACUGGUAAACGAUGAGCACAAGUCACCAAAUUCCAGAAUUAAGUUUAUUGAAGCAGGAGGGAAGCCACAUCUGUGCCUUUUUGCACUGAAGGAAAUUGCGUCCGGAACUGAAAUCACCUUUGACUAUGGUGGGAAGGAAUGGCCCUGGCGCAAAGAGGUUCCCCUUACUGUUAUAAGCACUGCUGCCCAAGAGUCUAUUAAAGACAGUUUCCAAGACCAAAUCAUGUCAUCCACAGUCUUUAUUGAAGAGACCAGAGAGAGGCCAGAAGUCCAGUCUUGCAAUAUGACAUCAGGCAGUUUUGCUUACACAGCUCAGUGGUGCAAACAUCCCUCCUGGCCAACACUCCAUUGCAGAGCUUGGUGACAACGCCCAUGACUUGG